rnacentral:rRNA from 1 species
UACGGGGGGGGCAAGCGUUGUUCGGAAUUACUGGGAGUAAAGGGCUCGUAGGCGGCCAACUAAGUCAGACGUGAAAUCCCCAGGCUCAACCUGGGAACUGCGUCUGAUACUGGAUGGCUUGAAUCCGGGAGAGGGAUGCAGAAUUCCAGGUGUAGCGGUGAAAUGCGUAGAUAUCUGGAGGAAUACCGGUGGCGAAGGCGGCAUCCUGGACCGGCAUUGACGCUGAGGAGCGAAAGCCAGGGGAGCAAACGGG